AGAAUGGAAAGCGAAAAAUUGCAAUCAGUUUCGACCUGACACUUGGUAGAUUUACCUCUAUUCUA
rnacentral:tRNA from 1 species